CAGCAAAGGCCAUGGUGAAAUGUGUAAAGCAGUACUCUGGUUAUUAUGGCUGUGAAAGAUGUACACCAAGGGGAAGAUGGCUUGGUAGAAUGACUUAUCCGGAGGUGACAAAUCUGACGCUGCGGACUGAUCUGACUUUCAGAGAACAAACGUAUGCAGAACAUCAUCAAGAGGAAAAGAUUUCCCCUUUCUGUAAUCUUCCAAUUGACACUAUCAGGUGUUUUCCUGUUGACUACAUGCAUCAGUGUUGUCUAGGAGUUAUGAGAAAAUUGCUGUUCCUGUGGACAAGAGGCCAUUCCACAGUAAGACUGUCUCCUGUGCAGGUAAAAGAAGUUAGUCAUAGAUUAAAUCAGCUAAGGAGUGCUAUGCCAAGAUGUUUUGCAAGGAAGCCAUGUGGUUUGGAAGAACUUGAAAGACAGUAACAGAAAAAGGACAGAUACAAGGAAAAGGAAAGUAAAAUGUAAACUAUGAAGAACAUGCGUCAUUGUCAGUUUUCUAUAAAUUUGCUGUUUUUUGUUUAAGCAGUUUCAAUAAAGCGAAAUUCUCAAGUGACGACCAUUUAGCUACUUUACUUUUCAUAUUAAUGUCAACAUCUUUUGUUCAUUUUUGGUGUUGUUUUGUCUCUGAUAUUUAUACAGGUAGGAGCUAUAUUGCUAUUGGACGCGGAACAAUGCUACCAAAAUGGUGAAAAGAGGGGAUAUGGCAGACAAACAACUAUGGCCUAAAUACCAAGUCAGAGUCUUCACGUUUACAGACAACUAUCAAUUGGCAAGGGACAGGGCACAAAAAGGACUUGAAACAUCUAAUGUUGAGUCCGAUAGGGGCAGUGUGAGGAAGGUGAGGCGUCCUGCAAGAUUUAUAGAGGACUCCUCCAGUGAAGGUUCUAUUACAUUCUGACAUUUAAAAAAGUUGCAAAAUUGGGUUGCAUUACUCCAUUAAAUAAAUAACUUAUUACCAUAAAAUCAGUGAUUGUGAUGCAACCAAAUGAUCUAUCUUCACUAAAUGAAUAUGAGUAUGACAAUGAAAUGUUUGAAUUCUUCUCAUACUGAUUGAUUACAUUGUUUACUUGUAAUUAUUAUAUACAAUAAAGAGAGUGAUACCAGUGA